UAUCAAGGGUAACCACAAUCUAGAAAAAACCAUCUCUAGCCUGGAAGUGAGAUCAUUGUAGACAAGCUGAUCAGAAGCAAAAUCCUUCUGUGACCCCUCCUAAGAAUUUCCACACUGGCUACCACCUUCAGCAAAUUCCCUAGAUGGCUGCUCAACUUUCCAUUGAGCCAGUGGAGUGAAUACUACUUACUUUAAAGAUGCCUUUUCACUGAACGCCAGUCAGAUUAGAUUAGGACCCACCUAAUGAUCUCAUCUUAACUUGAUGAACUACAAGGACCCUAUUUUUAAGAAGAUAUUCUAUAAUGAACAAAACACAAAUUUGAAGAACACAUGGAGCAUCAAAGAAGUUUGAGGACAUCUGCAUAGUCAGUUACAUCAUAUCUAAUCCAUCGUAGAGGUAAAUGAAGAGACCUAUGCUAGUACCAGAAGAUGUUUGCAUCCACAAUAAU
rnacentral:lncRNA from 13 species